CUUUAAUGUUUGAUGUUCUAACGUGGACCCGUAAUCCGGGUUGCGGACAGUGUCUGGUGGGUAGUUUGACUGGGGCGGUCUCCUCCUAAAGAGUAACGGAGGAGCACGAAGGUUGGCUAAUCCUGGUCGGACAUCAGGAGGUUAGUGCAAUGGCAUAAGCCAGCUUGACUGCGAGCGUGACGGCGCGAGCAGGUGCGAAAGCAGGUCAUAGUGAUCCGGUGGUUCUGAAUGGAAGGGCCAUCGCUCAACGGAUAAAAGGUACUCCGGGGAUAACAGGCUGAUACCGCCCAAGAGUUCAUAUCGACGGCGGUGUUUGGCACCUCGAUGUCGGCUCAUCACAUCCUGGGGCUGAAGUAGGUCCCAAGGGUAUGGCUGUUCGCCAUUUAAAGUGGUACGCGAGCUGGGUUUAGAACGUCGUGAGACAGUUCGGUCCCUAUCUGCCGUGGGCGCUGGAGAACUGAGGGGGGCUGCUCCUAGUACGAGAGGACCGGAGUGGACGCAUCACUGGUGUUCGGGUUGUCAUGCCAAUGGCACUGCCCGGUAGCUAAAUGCGGAAGAGAUAAGUGCUGAAAGCAUCUAAGCACGAAACUUGCCCCGA
rnacentral:rRNA from 1 species